CAGACCUGCCCUGGCUUCCAGCAAAACCCUCUGCGAGGUGGGGACGACACUAUCUCAUGGACAGCUGGAUCUGGUCCUAGUGAGAAGGUCGCCCAGCAAAAUCAGAUGUCGACGGGGAUGAAAAUGCUAUACAAGGAAUCACAAUCAAAUUUUCACCUACUGCGAGAAUACUUGAGGCUUUGCCUGAAAGAGGGACUAUUUUUGCCAACAGGCUGAGGACAGACCUCAAAGUCCACUGGCUUCAUUGGACUUCAUGCUGGGCAUUUCCAUCUAAGACCAAAGGAAGAGCGUCAGAGGUGGAAAGAGCCAACCGACAGAGGAGAAGGACCAAAUCUACCUUUGAUAACUAAAGGUCCAGACGAGAUGACCCUUGGAAGGCUUAUAUAAAAGGCUCUGGGAUGUCAGGAGACUUGCAGAAUAUGUGGCCCAACAGCUCCCUCUGCCCACUUUAUAGAUGGGGAGACCGAAGCCCGG